rnacentral:rRNA from 1 species
UGUGUUGUUGGGUAGGGGAGCGUUCUGUAAGCCUGCGAAGGUGUGCUGUGAGGCAUGCUGGAGGUAUCAGAAGUGCGAAUGCUGACAUAAGUAACGAUAAUGCGGGUGAAAAACCCGCACGCCGGAAGACCAAGGGUUCCUGUCCAACGUUAAUCGGGGCAGGGUGAGUCGACCCCUAAGGCGAGGCCGAAAGGCGUAGUCGAUGGGAAACGGGUUAAUAUUCCCGUACCUGGUGUUACUGCGAAGGGGGGACGGAGAAGGCUAUGUUGGCCGGGCGACGGUUGUCCCGGUUUAAGCGUGCAGGCUGGUUUUCCAGGCAAAUCCGGAAAAUCAAGGCUGAGGCGUGACGACGAGGCACUACGGUGCUGAAGCAACAAAUGCCCUGCUUCCAGGAAAAGCCUCUAAGCCUCAGGUAACAUCAGAUCGUACCCGAAACCGACACAGGUGGUCAGGUAGAGAAUACCAAGGCGCUUGAGAGAACCCGGGUGAAGGAACUAGGCAAAAUGGUGCCGUAACUUCGGGAGAAGGCACGCUGACACGUAGGUGAAGCGGUUUACCCGUGGAGCUGAAGUCAGUCGAAGAUACCAGCUGGCUGCAACUGUUUAUUAAAAACACAGCACUGUGCAAACACGAAAGUGGACGUAUACGGUGUGACGCCUGCCCGGUGCCGGAAGGUUAAUUGAUGGGGUCAGCGCAAGCGAAGCUCCUGAUCGAAGCCCCGGUAAACGGCGGCCGUAACUAUAACGGUCCUAAGGUAGCGAAAUUCCUUGUCGGGUAAGUUCCGACCUGCACGAAUGGCGUAAUGAUGGCCAGGCUGUCUCCACCCGGGACUCAGUGAAAUUGAACUCGCUGUGAAGAUGCAGUGUACCCGCGGCAAGACGGAAAGACCCCGUGAACCUUUACUAUAGCUUGACACUGAACACUGGUCCUUGAUGUGCAGGAUAGGUGGGAGGCUUUGAAGUGUGGACGCCAGUCUGCAUGGAGCCGUCCUUGAAAUACCACCCUUUAAUGGCUGGUGUUCUAACGUAGACCCGUGAACCGGGUUGCGGACAGUGUCUGGUGGGUAGUUUGACUGGGGCGGUCUCCUCCUAAAGCGUAACGGAGGAGCACGAAGGUUGGCUAAUCCUGGUCGGACAUCAGGAGGUUAGUGCAAUGGCAUAAGCCAGCUUGACUGCGAGCGUGACGGCGCGAGCAGGUGCGAAAGCAGGUCAUAGUGAUCCGGUGGUUCUGAAUGGAAGGGCCAUCGCUCAACGGAUAAAAGGUACUCCGGGGAUAACAGGCUGAUACCGCCCAAGAGUUCAUAUCGACGGCGGUGUUUGGCACCUCGAUGUCGGCUCAUCACAUCCUGGGGCUGAAGUAGGUCCCAAGGGUAUGGCUGUUCGCCAUUUAAAGUGGUACGCGAGCUGGGUUUAGAACGUCGUGAGACAGUUCGGUCCCUAUCUGCCGUGGGCGCUGGAGAACUGAGGGGGGCUGCUCCUAGUACGAGAGGACCGGAGUGGACGCAUCACUGGUGUUCGGGUUGUCAUGCCAAUGGCACUGCCCGGUAGCUAAAUGCGGAAGAGAUAAGUGCUGAAAGCAUCUAAGCACGAAACUUGCCCCGAGAUGAGUUCUCCCUGAGACUACAAGUCUCCUGAAGGAACGUUGAAGACGACGACGUUGAUAGGCCGGGUGUGUAAGCGCAGCGAUGCGUUGAGCUAACCGGUACUAAUGAACCGUGAGGCUUAACCUUACAACGCCGAAGGUGUUU